rfam:Camelus ferus unplaced genomic scaffold scaffold1435, whole genome shotgun sequence.
GAGGGUAUAGUUCUAUGAUAGAGUGUGUGCCUAGCAUGCACAAGAUCCUGGGUUCAAUCCCCAGCACCUCCA